rnacentral:SRP_RNA from 1 species
AUGAGAACAGAGGUGGGACGGACCGAUUUUCAUCGGGUCCUGCUGGUCGGCACAACUAGGUCCUGCGCGGCAGAUGUUCGUGAACCCCGCUAGGUCCGUGAGGAAGCAACGGUAAAUGGACCUCUCUGGGUGCCGCAGGGCAGCCUGGUUGUGCUGACCAGCAGGACCGGGCGAAAAUCGGUUUUCCAU